GAUGAACGCUGGCGGCGUGCCUAAUACAUGUAAGUCGAGCGAACAGAUGAGGAGCUUGCUCCUCUGACGUUAGCGGCGGACGGGUGAGUAACACGUGGAUAACCUACCUAUAAGACUGGGAUAACUUCGGGAAACCGGAGCUAAUACCGGAUAAUAUAUUGAACCGCAUGGUUCAAUAGUGAAAGACGGUUUUGCUGUCACUUAUAGAUGGAUCCGCGCCGCAUUAGCUAGUUGGUAAGGUAACGGCUUACCAAGGCAACGAUGCGUAGCCGACCUGAGAGGGUGAUCGGCCACACUGGAACUGAGACACGGUCCAGACUCCUACGGGAGGCAGCAGUAGGGAAUCUUCCGCAAUGGGCGAAAGCCUGACGGAGCAACGCCGCGUGAGGGAUGAAGGUCUUCGGAUCGUAAAACUCUGUUAUUAGGGAAGAACAAAUGUGUAAGUAACUAUGCACGUCUUGACGGUACCUAAUCAGAAAGCCACGGCUAACUACGUG
rnacentral:rRNA from 1 species